rnacentral:misc_RNA from 1 species
AAAAGAAAUCUUUAAUCUCUUUUGAGAUUAAGGGAUAUGGGUAUUCCGCUACCAAUUUUUGGCGGUAACCUGAAAUAGAUGGUAGUCUUCAUCUAGUCGAGACGCGUAAUAAUAUUAUUUCGUGAAACGGCUAAUGAGCGACCUAGUUUUGAAUGUCUUUAUACAAGUCAUUAAAACAAAUAAUUUUG